CCCUUAGAUGUCCUGGGCCGCACGCGCGUUACACUGAUGCAUUCAACGAGCUUAUAACCUUGGCCGAGAGGCCUGGGCAAUCUUGUUAACGUGCAUCGUGAUAGGGAUAGAUUAUCGAAAUUAUUAAUCUUGAACGAGGAAUUCCUAGUAAACGCAGAUCAUCAAUCUGCAUUGAUUACGUCCCUGCCCUUUGUACACACCGCCCGUCGCACCUACCGAUUGGAUGGUCCGGUGAAGCCUCGGGAUUGUGGUUCUUGCCGCUUUAUUGUAGCGUGACCGCGAGAACUUGUCUAAACCUUAUCAUCUAGAGGAAGGUGAAGUCGUAACA
rnacentral:rRNA from 1 species